UACGAAGGGGGCGAGCGUUGUUCGGAAUUACUGGGCGUAAAGGGCGCGCAGGCGGCUCUGAAAGUCAGAUGUGAAAUCCCCGGGCUCAACCUGGGAAUUGCAUUUGAGACUGCACGGCUAGAGUGUGUCAGAGGGGGGUAGAAUUCCACGUGUAGCAGUGAAAUGCGUAGAGAUGUGGAGGAAUACCGAUGGCGAAGGCAGCCCCCUGGGAUAACACUGACGCUCAUGCACGAAAGCGUGGGGAGCAAACAGG
rnacentral:rRNA from 1 species